rnacentral:rRNA from 1 species
GCCAGACUCCUACGGGAGGCAGCAGUGAGGAAUAUUGGUCAAUGGCCGAGAGGCUGAACCAGCCAAGUCGCGUGAGGGAAGACGGCCCUAUGGGUUGUAAACCUCUUUUGUCGGAGAACAAGACCCGGGACGUGUCCCGGACUGCGUGUAUCCGAAGAAAAAGCAUCGGCUAACUCCGUGCCAGCAGCCGCGGUAAUACGGAGGAUGCGAGCGUUAUCCGGAUUUAUUGGGUUUAAAGGGUGCGUAGGCGGUCCGUUAAGUCAGCGGUAAAAUUGCGGGGCUCAACACCGGCCUGCCGUUGAAACUGGCAGUCUCGAGUUGGAGAGAAGUAUGCGGAAUGCGCGGUGUAGCGGUGAAAUGCAUAGAUAUCGCGCAGAACUCCGAUUGCGAAGGCAGCAUGCCGGCUCCACACUGACGCUGAGGCACGAAAGCGUGGGUAUCGAACAGGAUUAGAUACCCCGGUAU